rnacentral:rRNA from 1 species
GUGUCAGCCGCCGCGGUAAUACGGAGGGUGCAAGCGUUAUCCGGAUUCAUUGGGUUUAAAGGGUGCGCAGGCGGAUACUUAAGUCAGUGGUGAAAUCCCGGGGCUCAACCCCGGAACUGCCAUUGAUACUGAAUAUCUGGAAUACGGUUGAAGUGGGCGGAAUGUAGCAUGUAGCGGUGAAAUGCAUAGAGAUGCUACAGAACACCGAUCGCGAAGGCAGCUCACUAAGCCGAUAUUGACGCUCAGCACGAAAGCGUGGGGAGCGAACAGGAUUAGAUACCCUGGUAGUCCACGCCGUAAACGAUGAUAACUCGUUGUUGGCGACACACAGUCAGCGACUAAGCGAAAGCGAUAAGUUAUCCACCUGGGGAGUACGAUCGCAAGGUUGAAACUCAAAUGAAUUGACGG